rnacentral:rRNA from 1 species
AUUCCGCAUGGAAGAAAGUUGAAAGGCGCUUUUGCGUCCCUGAUGGAUGGACCCGCGGUGCAUUAGCUAGUUGGUGAGGUAACGGCUCACCAAGGCCACGAUGCAUAGCCGACCUGAGAGGGUGAUCGGCCACACUGGGACUGAGACACGGCCCAGACUCCUACGGGAGGCAGCAGUAGGGAAUCUUCGGCAAUGGACGAAAGUCUGACCGAGCAACGCCGCGUGAGUGAAGAAGGUUUUCGGAUCGUAAAACUCUGUUGUUAGAGAAGAACAAGGAUGAGAGUAGAACGUUCAUCCCUUGACGGUAUCUAACCAGAAAGCCACGGCUAACUACGUGCCAGCAGCCGCGGUAAUACGUAGGUGGCAAGCGUUGUCCGGAUUUAUUGGGCGUAAAGCGAGCGCAGGCGGUUUCUUAAGUCUGAUGUGAAAGCCCCCGGCUCAACCGGGGAGGGUCAUUGGAAACUGGGAGACUUGAGUGCAGAAGAGGAGAGUGGAAUUCCAUGUGUAGCGGUGAAAUGCGUAGAUAUAUGGAAGAACACCAGUGGCGAAAGCGGCUCUCUGGUCUGUAACUGACGCUGAGGUUCGAAAGCGUGGGUAGCAAACAGGAUUAGAUACCCUGGUAGUCCACGCCGUAAACGAUGAGUGCUAAGUGUUGGAGGGUU